rnacentral:rRNA from 1 species
AGAGUUUGAUCAUGGCUCAGAUUGAACGCUGGCGGCAAGCCUCAUACAUGCAAGUCGAACGAGAAAGCAUCUUCGGAUGCGAGUAAAGUGGCGGACGGGUGAGUAAUACAUAGGAAUCUACCCAAUGGCGGGGGACAGCUCGAGGAAACUCGAAUUAAUACCGCAUAAUCUCUACGGAGUAAAGAGGGCUUCGCUCUCACCAUCGGAUGAGCCUAUGCAAAAUUAGCUUGUUGGUGAGGUAAUGGCUUACCAAGGCUACGAUCUUUAGCUGGUUUGAGAGGAUGACCAGCCACAUCGGGACUGAGACACGGCCCGGACUUCUACGGAAGGCAGCAGUAGGGAAUAUUGGACAAUGAGCGAAAGCUUGAUCCAGCUAUGCCGCGUGUGCGAUGACGGCCCUCGGGUUGUAAAGCACUUUAGGUAACGAGGAAAAGUUAGGUGUUAAUACCACUUAACCAUGACGUUAAUUACAGAAUAAGCACCGGCUAAAUCCGUGCCAGCAGCCGCGGUAAUACGGAUGGUGCAAGCGUUAAUCGGAAUUACUGGGCGUAAAGCGCGCGUAGGUGGCAUACUAAGUUAGAUGUGAAAUCCCGGGGCUUAACUCCGGAACUGCAUCUAAAACUGGUAAGCUAGAGUACUAGAGAGGAAAGUAGAAUUCUUAGUGUAGCGGUGGAAUGCGUAGAUAUUAAGAGGAAUACCAAUGGCGAAGGCAACUUUCUGGAUAGAUACUGACACUGAG